GAUGAACGCUGGCGGCGUGCCUAAUACAUGCAAGUCGAGCGAACAGAUGAGGAGCUUGCUCCUCUGACGUUAGCGGCGGACGGGUGAGUAACACGUGGAUAACCUACCUAUAAGACUGGGAUAACUUCGGGAAACCGGAGCUAAUACCGGAUAAUAUAUUGAACCGCAUGGUUCAAUAGUGAAAGACGGUUUUGCUGUCACUUAUAGAUGGAUCCGCGCCGCAUUAGCUAGUUGGUAAGGUAACGGCUUACCAAGGCAACGAUGCGUAGCCGACCUGAGAGGGUGAGCGGCCACAGUGGAACAGAGACACGGUCCAGACUCCUACGGGAGGCAGGAGUAGGGAAUCUUCCACAAUGGGCGAAAGCCUGACGGAGCAACGCCGCGUGAGUGAUGAAGGUCUUCAGAUCGUAAAACUCUGUUAUUAGGGAAGAAAAAAUGUGUAAGUAACUAUGCACGUCGUGACGGUACCUAAACAGAAAGCCACGGCUAACUACG
rnacentral:rRNA from 1 species